rnacentral:rRNA from 1 species
UGGCGGACGGGUGAGUAAUGUCUGGGAAACUGCCCGAUGGAGGGGGAUAACUACUGGAAACGGUAGCUAAUACCGCAUAACGUCGCAAGACCAAAGAGGGGGACCUUAGGGCCUCUUGCCAUCGGAUGUGCCCAGAUGGGAUUAGCUAGUAGGUGGGGUAACGGCUCACCUAGGCGACGAUCCCUAGCUGGUCUGAGAGGAUGACCAGCCACACUGGAACUGAGACACGGUCUAG